rnacentral:tRNA from 1 species
GUCCUGGUAGUUAAAUGGAUAUAACAGACCCCUCCUAAGGGUCAGUUGUGGGUUCGAUUCCCGCCCGGGAUACCA